CAGGCUUAACACAUGCAAGUCGAGGGGCAGCAUGGUCUUAGCUUGCUAAGGCCGAUGGCGACCGGCGCACGGGUGAGUAACGCGUAUCCAACCUGCCUUACACUCUUGGACAGCCUUCUGAAAGGGAGAUUAAUACAAGAUGUUAUCAUGAGUAAGCAUUUUCGCAUGAUUAAAGGUUUACCGGUGUAAGAUGGGGAUGCGUUCCAUUAGAUAGUAGGCGGGGUAACGGCCCACCUAGUCUUCGAUGGAUAGGGGUUCUGAGAGGAAGGUCCCCCACAUUGGAACUGAGACACGGUCCAAACUCCUACGGGAGGCAGCAGUGAGGAAUAUUGGUCAAUGGACGAGAGUCUGAACCAGCCAAGUAGCGUGAAGGAUGAAGGUUCUAUGGAUUGUAAACUUCUUUUAUACGGGAAUAAACGAAUCCACGCGUGGAUUUUUGCAUGUACCGUAUGAAUAAGGAUCGGCUAACUCCGUGCCAGCAGCCGCGGUAAUACGGAGGAUCCGAGCGUUAUCCGGAUUUAUUGGGUUUAAAGGGAGCGUAGAUGGGUUGUUAAGUCAGUUGUGAAAGUUUGCGGCUCAACCGUAAAAUUGCAAUUGAUACUGGCAGUCUUGAGUACAGUUGAGGUAGGCGGAAUUCGUGGUGUAGCGGUGAAAUGCUUAGAUAUCACGAAGAACUCCGAUUGCGAAGGCAGCUUACUAACCUGUAACUGACAUUGAUGCUCGAAAGUGUGGGUAUCAAACAGGAUUAGAUACCCUGGUAGUCCACACGGUAAACGAUGAAUACUCGCUGUAGGCGAUAUACAGUCUGCGGCCAAGCGAAAGCAUUAAGUAUUCCACCUGGGGAGUACGCCGGCAACGGUGAAACUCAAAGGAAUUGACGGGGGCCCGCACAAGCGGAGGAACAUGUGGUUUAAUUCGAUGAUACGCGAGGAACCUUACCCGGGCUUAAAUUGCAACCGAAUAUGGCGGAAACGCUAUAGCUAGCAAUAGCGGUUGUGAAGGUGCUGCAUGGUUGUCGUCAGCUCGUGCCGUGAGGUGUCGGCUUAAGUGCCAUAACGAGCGCAACCCUUGCCGAUAGUUACUAACAGGUCAUGCUGAGGACUCUGUCGGGACUGCCAUCGUAAGAUGUGAGGAAGGUGGGGAUGACGUCAAAUCAGCACGGCCCUUACGUCCGGGGCUACACACGUGUUACAAUGGGGGGUACAGAGGGCUGCUACCACGCAAGUGGAUGCCAAUCCCAAAAACCUCUCUCAGUUCGGAUUGAAGUCUGCAACCCGACUUCAUGAAGCUGGAUUCGCUAGUAAUCGCGCAUCAGCCACGGCGCGGUGAAUACGUUCCCGGGCCUUGUACACACCGCCCGUCAAGCCAUGGGAGCCGGGGGUACCUGAAGUGCGUAACCGCAAGGAGCGCCCUAGGGUAAAACUGGUGACU
rnacentral:rRNA from 1 species